rnacentral:rRNA from 1 species
GACCGAACCGACUAAUGUUGAAAAAUUAGCGGAUGACCUGUGGCUGGGGGUGAAAGGCCAAUCAAACCGGGAGAUAGCUGGUUCUCCCCGAAAGCUAUUUAGGUAGCGCCUCGUGAAUUCAUCUCCGGGGGUAGAGCACUGUUUCGGCUAGGGGGCCAUCCCGGCUUACCAACCCGAUGCAAACUGCGAAUACCGGAGAAUGUUAUCACGGGAGACACACGGCGGGUGCUAACGUCCGUCGUGAAGAGGGAAACAACCCAGACCGCCAGCUAAGGUCCCAAAGUCAUGGUUAAGUGGGAAACGAUGUGGGAAGGCCCAGACAGCCAGGAUGUUGGCUUAGAAGCAGCCAUCAUUUAAAGAAAGCGUAAUAGCUCACUGGUCGAGUCGGCCUGCGCGGAAGAUGUAACGGGGCUAAACCAUGCACCGAAGCUGCGGCAGCGACACUGUGUGUUGUUGGGUAGGGGAGCGUUCUGUAAGCCUGUGAAGGUGUGUCGUGAGGC